rnacentral:rRNA from 1 species
AUACGGAGGGGGUUAGCGUUGUUCGGAAUUACUGGGCGUAAAGCGUACGUAGGCGGACUGGAAAGUUGGGGGUGAAAUCCCGGGGCUCAACCCCGGAACUGCCUCCAAAACUUCCAAUCUAGAGAUCGAGAGAGGUGAGUGGAAUUCCAAGUGUAGAGGUGAAAUUCGUAGAUAUUUGGAGGAACAACAGUGGCGAAGGCGGCUCACUGGCUCGAUACUGACGCUGAGGUACGAAAGCGUGGGGAGCAAACAGGAUUAGAAACACUAGUAGUCC